GACGAACGCUCGGUGCGUGCUUAACACAUGCAAGUCGAACGGAAAGGCCCUGCUUUUGUGGGGUGCUCGAGUGGCGAACGGGUGAGUAACACGUGAGUAACCUGCCCUUGACUUUGGGAUAACUUCAGGAAACUGGGGCUAAUACCGGAUAGGAGCUCCUGCUGCAUGGUGGGGGUUGGAAAGUUUCGGCGGUUGGGGAUGGACUCGCGGCUUAUCAGCUUGUUGGUGGGGUAGUGGCUUACCAAGGCUUUGACGGGUAGCCGGCCUGAGAGGGUGACCGGCCACAUUGGGACUGAGAUACGGCCCAGACUCCUACGGGAGGCAGCAGUGGGGAAUAUUGCACAAUGGGCGGAAGCCUGAUGCAGCAACGCCGCGUGCGGGAUGACGGCCUUCGGGUUGUAAACCGCUUUCGCCUGUGACGAAGCGUGAGUGACGGUAAUGGGUAAAGAAGCACCGGCUAACUACGUGCCAGCAGCCGCGGUGAUACGUAGGGUGCGAGCGUUGUCCGGAUUUAUUGGGCGUAAAGGGCUCGUAGGUGGUUGAUCGCGUCGGAAGUGUAAUCUUGGGGCUUAACCCUGAGCGUGCUUUCGAUACGGGUUGACUUGAGGAAGGUAGGGGAGAAUGGAAUUCCUGGUGGAGCGGUGGAAUGCGCAGAUAUCAGGAGGAACACCAGUGGCGAAGGCGGUUCUCUGGGCCUUUCCUGACGCUGAGGAGCGAAAGCGUGGGGAGCGAACGGGCUUAGAUACCCUGGUAGUCCACGCUGUAAACGGUGGGUACUAGGUGUGGGGUCCAUUCCACGGGUUCCGUGCCGUAGCUAACGCUUUAAGUACCCCGCCUGGGGAGUACGGCCGCAAGGCUAAAACUCAAAGGAAUUGACGGGGCCCCGCACAAGCGGCGGAGCAUGCGGAUUAAUUCGAUGCAACGCGUAGAACCUUACCUGGGUUUGACAUGGAUCGGGAGUGCUCAGAGAUGGGUGUGCCUCUUUUGGGGUCGGUUCACAGGUGGUGCAUGCCUGUCGUCAGCUCGUGUCGUGAGAUGUUGGGUUAAGUCCCGCAACGAGCGCAACCCUUGUUCACUGUUGCCAGCACGUUAUGGUGGGGACUCAGUGGAGACCGCCGGGGUCAACUCGGAGGAAGGUGGGGAUGACGUCAAGUCAUCAUGCCCCUUAUGUCCAGGGCUUCACGCAUGCUACAAUGGCUGGUACAGAGAGUGGCGAGCCUGUGAGGGUGAGCGAAUCUCGGAAAGCCGGUCUCAGUUCGGAUUGGGGUCUGCAACUCGACCUCAUGAAGUCGGAGUCGCUAGUAAUCGCAGAUCAGCAACGCUGCGGUGAAUACGUUCCCGAGGCG
rnacentral:rRNA from 1 species